GGGGGGUUGGCGCAAUGGUAGCGCGUAGGCUUCCGGUGCUUAAACAGGUCUGCCUAAGGCUGUGGGUUCGAGUCCCAUGCUCCUCG